ACAAAGACAAAGCCAAAGAACUGAUGAACUCUUUGCUGAAGCAGAAAUGUAGCAAAACCAAUUGUAAGAACGGGAUGCUCUCAUUCAAAAACUACACGAAAAGACAGGACAUGGAAGCAACCUAAGUGUCCAUCAUCGGAUGACUGGAUAAAGAAGAUGUGGCACAUAUAUACAAUGGAAUAUUACUCAGCCAUAAAACGGAACGAAAUUGAGUUAUUUGUAGUGAGGUGGAUGGAGUCAGAGUCUGUCAUACAGAGUGAAGUUAGAUCAAAUCACAAACUCACAAAGGAAUCAGUGAAAAACGGAAAUGGGAAGAAAACCCCUAACGUGUAGGGUGAAGAGAACGUUCCAUCUUCAGAACUCAGAGCAAGAAAAACGGAAUGUGAGACUUGUUCUAGGACACCAGUCAGAAUCCACACAAGGCUGGCUGCCUGCCCUGCGAAGUGGCACAAGAAUGGAAGGAGGCACCAGGGAUGCUGUCAUAAGCAGCAGCUUGCCCCUUAGUAACCUCUGUGCUCUGUGGGCUAGGCUGCAAUGUUUUGUGUAAAUGCUGGUACUGUAUCCUGAACAUUGUGGACCUCUACCCUCUGCCCCCACAAAAAGCAAAUACGGUUAAGAAGCGAGAGACAAAAUGUUACCCUAUUGUUUAGAAACACUACAGUGACCCAAUAUGCUCUCUCCAUAGUCUUGUUAUGUUAAAAUAAUGCACUCAAAAACAGAAAUCAAAUGAGAGAGAGAAAAACAAAAAAAACAACAGCAAACUCUAAUACUUGUUAUUACACCAUUUUCAAGACUUUUGCAGGGAAAAUGGUCUAUGCUUUCUCAACUGAUGAACUACAAUUUGAACAUCAAAUAUGGUGUCUUUACAUAGGUAUUUUAAGUACUAAGAAUCUGUCUUCGAACAUGAACUAACUAAAUGCUCACAGCUCCUAUAUUUGCAGAGUACCUUUUCUGUUACAGCAAUCCCUAUCCCUUCUUUUUAUGAGAUAGAUAAAAAGUUCCACUUAAGUGAGAGCUUGAAAAGCCAGCAUUCCUAUGAAAUAAAGCAGGACCUCAAGCUGGGGCAAAGAAAAUGUUACCUUUUAGAAACAAGUGAAAGCACCCUAGCUCUCCUUAAAACCCACUUACUUGUUUAGGAAAAGUCCAGCUAGUUUUCAAUAGCAA